rnacentral:rRNA from 1 species
UAGGGAAUAUUGCCAAUGGGUGCGAGCCUGAUCCAGCCAUGCCGCGUGCAGGAAGACGGCCUUCUGGGUUGUAAACUGCUUUGCCAGGGGAUAAAAAGUCCCUGCGGGGAAAAUUGAAGGUACCUGGUGAAUAAGCCACGGCUAACUACGUGCCAGCAGCCGCGGUAAUACGUAGGUGGCGAGCGUUGUCCGGAUUUAUUGGGUUUAAAGGGUGCGUAGGUUGUUUAGUAAGUCAGUGGUGAAAUCCGGCAGCUUAACUGUCGAUGUGCCAUUGAUACUGCAGAACUUGAGUACAGACGAGGUAGGCGGAAUUGACGGUGUAGCGGUGAAAUGCUUAGAUAUCGUCAAGAACACCGAUAGCGAAGGCAGCUUACUAGACUGUAACUGACACUGAUGCACGAAAGUGUGGGGAUCAAACAGGAUUAGAUACCCUGGUAGUCCACACUGUAAACGAUGAUUACUCGAUGUUGGCGAUACACGGCUCAGCGUCUUAGCGAAACGCGAUAAGUAAUCCAGCCU